rnacentral:lncRNA from 1 species
GCCGUUUUUGGCACAACAUUUGUGAAUUUUGGGUCCCUAAUGCUCUUCAACUUAGUACUUGUUUGGCUUUAUAACUAUUUUGAUCUAAGCAUCGCUGAUGAGUCUUAUGCUGACGAAACGCACGUCUGGCGUUUUCAAUUAUAAGCCUGGUACCUUUGAUAACUAUUAGGACAGGUACAAACAAAGGUUUAAACGUUUUGAUAGGUACAAACUUUACCCUUACCUGAAUCAAUAGUCGUGUUACAGUACAUCAUAGAAAGACCCAUUAUAAAAUAUCAGUUGAAAGGACUUAACUCAAUCAAAAGACAUAAUAACAUAAACAAGUGAGCAAACACUGAACAAAUAAAUUUGACCAAUG